CCUACGGGAUGCAGCAGUGAGGCAUAUUGGUCAAUGGACGCCAGUCUGAACCAGCCAUGCCGCGUGCAGGAAGACGGCUAUAUGAGUUGUAAACUGCUUUUGUACGAGGGUCAAUCCCGAAACGUGUAUCGGGUUGAAAGUAUCGUACGAUUCAGUAUAGGCUAACUCCGUGCCAGCAGCCGCGGUAAUACGGAUGAUUCAAGCGUUAUCCGGAGUUAUUGGGUUUAAAGUGUGCGUAGGCGGUUCGAUAAGUUAGGGGUGAAAUCCCGGGCCUCAACUCCGGCAAUGCCUCUGAUACUGUCGGGCUAGAGUGUAGUUGCGGUAGGCGGAAUGUAUGGUGUAGCGGGGAAAUGCAUAGAGAUCAUACAGAACACCGAGUGCGAAGGCAGCUUACCAAACUACGACUGACGUGGAGGCACGAAAGCGUGGGGAGCAAACAGGAUUAGAUACCCCUGUAGUC
rnacentral:rRNA from 1 species